rnacentral:rRNA from 1 species
GGCGCAGGCGGCCUGGUAAGUCGAAUGUGAAAUCUCCCGGCUUAACUGGGAGGGGUCAUUCGAUACUAUCAAGCUAGAGUGCAACAGGGGAAGGUGGAAUUCCCGGUGUAGUGGUGAAAUGCGUAGAUAUCGGGAGGAACACCAGUGGCGAAGGCGGCCUUCUGGGUUGUUACUGACGCUUAAGCCCGAAAGCGUGGGAGCAAACAGGAUCAGAUACCCUGGUAGUCCACGCUGUAAACUAUGGACACUGGGUAUGGGGAGUAUCGGACCCUCUCCGUGCCGAAGUUAACGCGUUAAGUGUCCCGUCUGGGAACUACGGCCGCAAGGCUAAA